rnacentral:rRNA from 1 species
CUACGGGGGGCAGCAGUGGGGAAUAUUGGACAAUGGGGGCAACCCUGAUCCAGCAAUUCCGCGUGGAUGAUGAAGGGUUUAGGCUCGUAAAGUCCUUUUAGUUGGGAAGAUAGUGACGGUACCAACAGAAAAAGCACCGGCUAAUUACGUGCCAGCAGCCGCGGUAAGACGUAAGGUGCAAGCGUUAUCCGGAAUUACUAGGCGUAAAGGGCAUCUAGGCGGCUAUGUAAGUCAGAGGUGAAAAGUCUGGGCUCAACCGAGGCCUUGCCUUUGAUACUCCAUAGCUAGAGUACGGGAGAGGAGGGCGGAACUACAAGUGUAGAGGUGAAAUUCGUAGAUAUUUGUAGGAAUGCCGAUUACGAAGGUAGCUCUCUGGACCGAUACUGACGCUAAAGUGCGAAAGCUAGGGGAGCGAACAGGAUUAGAUACCCUCGUAGUC